rnacentral:rRNA from 1 species
GACAGAGGGUGCAACCGUUGCUCGGAAUCACUGGGCGUAAAGGGCGUGUAGGCGGGCAGGUAAGUCGGGCGUGAAAUCCCUGAGCUCAACUCAGGAACUGCACUCGAAACUACUUGUCUUGAGUACCGGAGAGGAAAGCGGAAUACCUGGUGUAGAGGUGAAAUUCGUAGAUAUCAGGUGGAACACCAGUGGCGAAGGCGGCUUUCUGGACGGUAACUGACGCUGAGACGCGAAAGCGUGGGGAGCAAACAGG